UCAGACAUGGUGUACGGUACACGGCCCCUGACUAUAUUAAACUAAGUGUGUGACAAGGAGGCAGUGCGGGGUUCGACUCCCCGUGUCUGAA